rnacentral:rRNA from 1 species
UAGGGAAUCUUCGGCAAUGGACGAAAGUCUGACCGAGCAACGCCGCGUGAGUGAAGAAGGUUUUCGGAUCGUAAAACUCUGUUGUUAGAGAAGAACAAGGACGUUAGUAACUGAACGUCCCCUGACGGUAUCUAACCAGAAAGCCACGGCUAACUACGUGCCAGCAGCCGCGGUAAUACGUAGGUGGCAAGCGUUGUCCGGAUUUAUUGGGCGUAAAGCGAGCGCAGGCGGUUUCUUAAGUCUGGUGUGAAAGCCCCCGGCUCAACCGGGGAGGGUCAUUGGAAACUGGGAGACUUGAGUGCGGAAGAGGAGGGUGGAAUUCCAUGUGUAGCGGUGAAAUGCGUAGAUAUAUGGAGGAACACCAGUGGCGAAGGCGGCUCUCUGGUCUGUAACUGACGCUGAGGCUCGAAAGCGUGGGGAGCAAACAGG